rnacentral:rRNA from 3 species
UAGCAUGAAGUCAGAUAA